ensembl:lncRNA
UAAAUGCAAUAAAUUGUAUCCUUAAUUAUAUAUUUAUUAAGUUAGAAUAUCAUGCCAGUGCUUUGUUAGCUAUACAUCAUUAUGUAAAAUGCUAUAAAAUAAAUGUUGAAACAUUUAUCAUUUAAACAUUACUGUUGAUGCUCAGAAAAACUGUGCUUGUAAUGUUUGCCAUUUAUCAAAGCAAACAAGCAUCUUGAUCACAAAUCUUUCCAGCCUUGAGCCUAAAACCCGCUAGCUUAUCAAAUCCCAGACAGUAGUAACACUAGCUUGUUUCAGCUGUGACUACUAACCCACUACUGUACAGAAGUCACUUGCCCGCAGUUGUUUUUCUGGUUUCUCUUCUCUCUCCCUAAAGGAGCCAUUGAAAUUUGGUGUAAAAAGAGUAGCAGUGGGUGUAGGGUGUCUCAAGGCGAAUGUGAACAGCUGAGGUGUGAUUUCACAGGCUCGCUCUGCCCUGUCACGGCCCUGAUUGGGUUGGACAGCAGGCAGAGGAGAGGCCCUGGCUUCUAAAGGACACCAACAGGUGGAGGACCGCGGGGCAGAGGGGGGAGUAUAAGGGAGGCUGAGCGCUUAAAAAAAGCCGGGAGCAUGUGGCCAUGUCUGGGCAGAAUCCACCAGUCAUGCAAAGAGGACCAUACACUGUAGCACUCAGCAGAAGAGGAAAGAUGGGAACAGAAAGGUGUGGGGAGAGUUUUCAUUUGUUGCUAGAUUGAGUUGGGUAUAGCAAAUGGAAGAUUUUACACCUCUGCCACUGGAAAUGGUGCUGAUAAAGGAAAUGGAGGUAAGCAGCAAGAAUGAUUUUCUGAACAUUGUCAACAUAAGCUCUGUUCAUGUUCCUCCCUCUGCCUGCCGUUCUCUCUUGUUGAAGCAGCACGCCUUGCUGUGGCUGGUCAAAUGGAACCAAGUCAGGUGUUUCUGUGAGGUUUGGUCCCCUUCAACCAGCUACUGCGUCGUGAAUACAGCCAACAUAGAGCAAAGAUUAUAAGAGAGUCAUUCAGUAAAGUCUGAUAAUUAUCAUUUAAAAUGUACUAAUCCUAAGUUUUUCAUUAUUUAAUUGUCUUUUAUUUCUUCUAAAAUUCAAUAAACUAUUUUCCUUUUCAAUGUUGUGUUCA